CGAAGCUCCAGGCUGGCGUUCUCGCUCAGCCAGGCUUCGGCUUCCUCGGGAUGCGCUUCGAGGUACCUUUGUAUGAUAUCUGGACAAUAGUAUUGUCAUUACUGACAUUCUUGGAGUAGCGUGUGUUUGGAAUUUGGUAUUGGUUUAAUCAGGAUCAAAGGACUCAUGGAUGCAAUCAUCCCGGCGCUGUUCAUAGGAAGGGUCUCCUUGGUCUUUGCUACUCUCGCUUUGAUCUCGCUAACAUGGACACGCCUGCAUUUGUAGAAUACGCAUAGAUUGAAUCUAGCUGCACGAGUAUAUAUCUGGCUUCUCUAAGAGCCUUACUAGAUUUUGGGGUUCAACAGGAAACCAAAUCUAAUACCAUCAAAUAAUACAAGAAUAAACAGCAUUAGUGAUUUACUUACCUUCCAACCUUGUCCAUGAUUGUAUAUAAAAUGGAAUAUCGUUCGAUUUCCAUCCGUCCUACUUUAUGAAUAUCUAGGAUCUUGUGCGAAACAUCGACGGUAUUAAUAAACUUAGGGUACCUGACCCACCCCACAAAGAUUCCAGAUACGAAUGGUCCAAUGUAUAAACUGUAAACCCUCGCACCGUCUCGCGAGAUCGAGGGGAGCAAGUCACACGGGAAAUCUGUGUCUAAUAACUGAAUUAUAAAAUGGCUGAAUUUGAUAUUCCCCGCCGAAAAUAACUGCAACGUGAAACGGUCCGACCAUCCGUUAAAUCCACGUCUACUUUUGUCCACGAGCUUAGCCACCCUUCUUCAUUAAUCCUCGAUGAAGCGUAAAAACGUUGCAGUGUGAACUAAUUUUCUCGUGGAAAAUUUAGGAACCAUUCAAAGGGAAUAUUCUACGUAUACUCGCAGUGUCAAGUUCCAUAAAAAGAAAACAUACCCGAAACUCAAUAAUCUUCCGGGUAGAAGUUCGCAUCGUUCGAGGUCGACGAGACGAGGUGACACGCGAUUUAAUUAUCAUCGAUCUUUCCCGCGUCAAGCCCUACAGUCGAUAUUUUAAACUUCGCAAGAUGCAGCUCUCUUCUUUGACACUUUCUGCGUCCCUCCUUUUCCCUUCGAGCGUGCACCGCCGCUUUUACUGCAUCCCUGGAUCAGCAAUCGAGCGAGAGUUAAUCGUUUGUGCGCCGCCACCGUCACCACACACAGGCGUCCCUAGCGAUCCUUAUAAUAAACUUAUCACCGACUUGCAAACAGUCGUGGUCUAUCUUUCAAACAUCUCGAUAGUCAUUGAUCUCAAGAUAAAUCAAAAUACAGCUUCGUGUCAUCGUUCAGAAGUCAGAUUCAAGACCUCACUGAGUCUAUCCACAUCUCAUUAUAGUAAUCUAGACUGUACAUUCUAAAUGAUGUAGAAGCAUGUUUUGAUACAGCUAUGCUCCCGCUAUUCAUCUCGCCUCUUAGAUCCUUACGCCAACCGUUUAUGCGUUGAUGCAUAGACACUAUCACAGCUAAGUCCUUUCGAACGUAUCGAUUAAAGUCGAUCUUCGGGCAAUUAAUCACUGUCCGCUCACCGACAAAUAUUUGGGAAUCGGUACUGGAGUUGUGAUCCAAGAAGGGGACUUAAGGUGGAUCUAGACGAGAUGGGGACUUAAGGGAAGAGGAUUUGCACCGCGUAUAUUACGAGUCUGAACCGGUGACUUAGGGUAUAUUACCAGCGUCCCAAAUGGCGAGGAUAUGACAGUGCUAACGUUCAAAAUGGGGACUUAGGCGGUCAAGCCGAGGGAACCUAGGCCAUGUGUUCCACAAUUCCAGCAUCCAAAUCGUGAACUCAGUAUAUUACAAUUCCAUUGUCCAAACUAAUGAGAUGAGCAUCGUUCCAGGAACUUAGUACACGCAAUUCCAGAGUCCGGAAGGAAAAUUAGGGUAGACUUAGCGUAUGUCACAAUUCCAUUGUUCAAAACUAUCGAAUGUUACACCGUAUAUGUUACAAUUCUAGCCGGAGAUAGGAACUUAUCACGUAAUCGAAACCGACAAGAUGGAGCACAUACGAAAUCAACGAAAUUAUUGUUUAAACGCCUCAUCCACUGUCUAUACCUGGUGGCAUCCUUCCAGGACAUCUACUGAUCAGUCCUAGUCUACAAUCCAUAUCUCCGGGCAAGUAUCCCAUUCAUCCUUUCUCUAUUGUCCUACACAAAACUGAUUCACUGUGUCACUCCAGCAAGCUUUCUUCGAUUCCACUCGUCGAAUCUUCCGUACACGAAUUAGACUUCUGUUCUAGUCACGCACAUGUCUUCGAUUUUAGCUCUGUGCCGCGGCGGGGGAAAUGUCUGACGGAGUCUCGGAUAGAAUUGGACCGGUCGAAAGCUCGGAGCUUACUGAAGCCAGGCCAACCGACGGGUGUUCGCGAAAGCUUGGCCGGAUACGCGCAAGCUUUCCUCGUCUUCGUCGGCGUCGAGUCUUGUGCAUAAAACGUUACCUAAGGGUGUAAGUGACGUAACCUUAAGCGCCGACCCUAUAGAAGAGGUUUCCACGUGGUAUCUCCAUCGUAUGCGUGGUACAUCCAGACACUAACGAGUCCGGUGCCGACUCGCGCGAGUUAGAGCGGUUAGGCGCGAAUUUUCCACGGGUCGUGCGUGCGCUCGUGGCUGAAGCUACACGGACGUCGCGACGCGUCUGUGUGCCGCGUCGGGCUAGCUGGAAGAUCGAUAGCAGAGUACGGGUCCCGGACGCAGCAUCCCUCGUGUCUGCUCGCGCGAUUUUCCACCGAAAAUUUCGCAGAGCACCGCCGAUAGCCGAUAGCGGGAUAGCGCUGCAUCGAUUCGACCCGCUGUUAUGUCUCUCGACUCCUUCGCUGGGUUUAUGUCUCGCGGUUGUUCAUCUUUUGUAACGAUGUUGCGCAUUGUAUCGCCAAAUAUUUACUCGUAUGUUCACGCGUUACCAUGCGUUGUAAGCCACGUGCUACUCGCUGCCACGUUAUAGAUUUUCCAUGCAUUGUCAAGCUUCAGAUUUUCUAUUGUAUGUUUACGUUAGGUUUGAGUUUCUAUUCCUCGCGUGCUUACCACGCACGAUACCCACGCGUGACACGCGCCGAGUGCCUACGCGCUAAUAUAUUUUCAUAUUACUAUAACAAAAAUAUCUAAGAGGAACAGCUAUACCACUUACAGGGUUUCUUACUUAACGUAAAUUUCCAAUAGAAGAUAAAACCACUGAAGAAAAUCUUGACGAAUCCUAGCUAAAUGAUAUCCAUAAUGUAUCCCGAUUUUAUCUCCGUUCCGAAAGUUGAACAGAACAUUCUGUGGCGUUUCGAUAAGACACGUACAACCGUUGAAACGAUUUCUAAGAACGAGGGAGGAAAACCCCUUUUUGGCAUUGACAAGUUUUCACCCCCGUAUGUUAGGGCCACGAUAGCGGGGUAAGCUGAGAAAAUCCGAUAGGGUAAUUUCUACGAGUUUCUAUUCCAUCAGAGCCAUACGAUGCACGACGUUAUUGCUACGGUUUCAGCUGGCACCGUCAAGAUUUACGAGCUGCAAAGGAACCCUGGCUAAUGGCGGUAUCGAUUUUUAAUUCACGCGUCUCGUACGCUAAGGAUGGCCAGGUUUCUCAGGUGAAACCUGGGAGAUAAACGAGCGUUGGACGGCGGAGAAUGAUUGCGAGACGAAUCGAUGAAGUGUAUCGAUCUGUGUUCUGAUGGUUACUGUAAGCUAGAUAAGUUAGAAGCUUAAAUUAAUUCUUAAAUUGAGUGAUAGUAUAAGGAGUAAUAUAAUGUAUAAUUAUACAUAGAUCGAUCGAUUGAUUGAUUUUAUGUGGGCCUCGACUGCUAUGAUCAUUGGCCCUACAUAGUAGCGUAACACGUAGCAAUACAGUGGCGAUACAAUAUGCGAUAAAGUGGCCUAACGUAGAAAUUUAGUAAUCUAAUGCAUAGAAAUUUUAUACAUAACAUUGUGAAAAUACAACACGUGGCGAUAUAACGCAAUAUCGCUUAGAAUGAUUUUUCAUCCAAGUCUCAAGAGAAUUCUAACCGGAGAAAAAAUCUUUUCAGCCACGCAAGAGGAAGAGAAAUCAGGAGCAGCGCGGUGAGGUGGCUCGUUAGCGUUCGAGAAAAGGGAAAAACCGAGUUAGAGAAGAAAGGAAGAGGAAGAAGAUAAGUGGGCGGUCCCUCCUUAAAUUCUAAUCGAAAUCCUGAAUGCCGGCUGAUUUUAUCCGCCGUCUCUUGGCAUCGUUCCCGUUCGAAACCCCUCACGUACAACCAGAGAAAUGAAUAAAUCCUGCGUCGUUAUGAUUUGAAAGAGUCCACCAACAACUUUUGGUGAAUUUCCUUUCCUCGGCUUUUAUAUUUACGUCGAUACUGUCCAGUAUCAAUGUUUCAACUGUUCUUAUUUAUUCGUUACCGAAUAACAAAAUUCCCGAAUUACCAAGUCAAAUGUUUAUCUUAUCAAGUAUUUUAUGAUACGGCGAGACGAAGUUAUUAUAAGACUGUUUUAUUUCUGGAAGGAUUAGACCGAUGUAAACAUCGAUUUUCUAUUUAUGGCAUAUAAUUUAAGCGGCGUUAUCGUUGGAUUACGGCGACGUUAAAGUCAUCCCACUCGGUGGGGAUUUAAUAUUCUUAUGGUUCUCGCAACGAUCCAACUUCGCGGCGUUUAAUUGCCAGGAUUAAGUUUGCAUGCAAUUCCUUCACUAAUUUACGUUCUUUUAAUCUCGUCUAUACACUCCGUAAUGUACUAAGCAACUCGAAAUUUCGUUAAACACAAUUUUAUUUUUAUCCGACAGAACAGUUGAUGCAGAAUUUGCUGGAACUUUUUGCGUUUGUUCGGGGGGGAACAAAAAUAACGUUGCAAUUUUGUUGUGAUCAGGGGGCAAUUAGUGUAAUGUUCCUUGUUCCAGGAAAACACUCUGGGAACGGGAGAUCAGCGUGGGACGCCGUCCUUUGUUCACUUACGCGCGCAUUUUGUUUCUCUGCGUGGUUCCGGAAAUCACUGGGGUUGAUACGAGGGUGAAAACGUGACGUUACAGAAAGAAACAGCAGUAAAGUAAUUAAAAGGGAAUCGCUGACGUUUCCGAUGAAAUCAUUUCCUGCUACUUUUACUUGUAACAAGAACUUUCUUAUUAGUUCUUCAAGGCUGUCGUAAUUGAACAUCCGAGCAGGUGUCAUGUAACAUUAUUUCAAGAAUCCUGAAGUACAACUGUACUUCUCUUGUAUAACAAACUUGAUAUAAAACUGCAGACUCGUAUCUCUCUUAUUGUUUAAAUUGCGAUAAUAAUUGUUAAUAACGAUAACCGUAUCUCGUAAUUAGAUUUCACGCUAUUAUCUCUGUUUUUUAAUCGAGUUUAUCAUUUUAAGAUAAUCCCAUUUAUCCUCCACAAAGGAUAUUGCAUUCAACCUACACGUUUCUUUUUAUUUGCAAAUCAGUUUUUUCCAUUUUAAUUCAAAUACUGAUCACACAUUUUUCGUAUUUAAAUUAUGGAUCUUAAAUUGUCCUCUGACAUUUUACUGCCCCCGGCGAAUUAAAUUGCCUAAAAUAUCCUUGACGUCAAUGAUGUAUAUCGAAUUUUAUUCGUAAAUAAGCCACGUUUGCCUUACUCCUGUCGGUUUAUCAAGCACCGUAAAGCAUUUCAGCUUAACGCCUCUCGUCCAUCUCACGCGAGUGGAUCAUUAUUAAAUAUCAACGCUUCCACGUUAACUGCCACGCUCGCGUAAAUGCGCCGCUAAUUUACUUGUGAGUAAUUUAAGGGAUAAUUAGCCGUUCGACUGCGAGACCGAGCAUCAAGCACACUUUACCUCGUGUGAAAUUCGCGUCGAGUGCUACACGCGAGUUUUUCUUCACUACGGGCAAAUAAAACUUGACAAAACGCAGAUUUACGGAUUUUUAAUUCAGGAAUGUUCGGAAGAACUAUAGGAAGCCUGCUGCGUUGUGACGUCGAAAGGAUUGAAGAAAUAAUUCAAGGAAUUUAGGUAUCCUAAAGUUUUAUUUCUAAAGUACAGCUGUCUAAUAACAAACACUAAGAAUUGAUUUUGCAAACAGAUCGCUGAGUUUCUUCAAUUUCGAAAUUAGCUGGAUCCCUUCCGGAAGUUGGACGUAGCUGGUGAAAUAGCCUGAGGACGUUACUUAGCAAUUCGGGGGAUGGUAAUUUACUUCGUUAUAACUUACGACGCUGUGUUACCGUCCAUGGUACAGUUAAGUGGAAGUACAAUGAUGUCGGUAAUGUUGUUUCUGAACGUUCCUCGGGUAUUAGUUCGAGAAGGCUAUCCACGAAAAUUGAUUGCGCAACGGGAAAAUUGAAAGGAUCAAAGAUCAUCGUCUGACUCCUGAAACCGUUCGUACUUAGCCACGGAUUUCUGAAAGGUUUCGUAAUCCUU